rnacentral:rRNA from 1 species
CGGGCGAGUGGCGCACGGGUGAGUAACGCGUGGGUAACCUGCCUCAUACAGGGGGAUAACAGUUGGAAACGGCUGCUAAUACCGCAUAAGCGCACAGUACCGCAUGGUACGGUGUGAAAAACUCCGGUGGUAUGAGAUGGACCCGCGUCUGAUUAGGUAGUUGGUGGGGUAACGGCCUACCAAGCCGACGAUCAGUAGCCGACCCGAGAGGGUGACCGGCCACAUUGGGACUGAGACACGGCCCAA